rfam:Pongo abelii chromosome 5.
GCCAGAUGUGAUAGCAUGGACCUGUAAUCCCAGCUAUCCAGGAGGCUGAGGCAGGAGGAUUUCUUGAGCCCUGGAGUUCUGGGCUGUAGUGCACUAUGUGGAUCGGCUAUCCACACUCAGUUUGGCAUCAAUAUGGUGACCUCCUGGGAGCAAGGGACCACCAGGUUGCCUAAAGAUGGGCAAACUGGUCCGGGUCAAAAAUGGAGCAGGUCAAAACUUCUAUGCUGAUCAGUAACAGGAUUGUGCCUAUGAAUGAUCACUGCAUUCAAGCCUGGGCAACAUAGCGAGACUCUGGUCUCUU